rnacentral:misc_RNA from 1 species
AAGUCGUAACAAGGUCUCCGUAGGUGAACCUGCGGAGGGAUCAUUAGCACGUUUUCAAAACGUAUUAACCUUAUGUGAAUUGUUUUUCCCGGUCCUUUGCAUCGCAGUAAAUCUGGAUCCAGUUAGAGCAGUAAGGGAGGACGCAGGGUAAAACCUGUUGCCUCUUAACCUCCAGAUGUCUUUUCUUACGUGGACUUAGAAAAGGUGCAUGCAUUGUGAUCGAAUUACUGUUUUUUCACCCCAUUUUAAACACUUUUGUACUAACUAGAGUAUUUCAUAUACAUUUCCAAUUAGGAAACUCUGAACAACUCUUAACAACGGAUAUCUUGGUUCUC